UACAGAGGGUGCAAGCGUUAAUCGGAAUUACUGGGCGUAAAGCGUGCGUAGUCGGUUAUUUAAGUCGGGUGUGAAAGCCCCGGGCUCAACCUGGGAAUUGCAUUCGAUACUGGAUAGCUAGAGUUCGGCAGAGGGAAGCGGAAUUUCCGGUGUAGCGGUGAAAUGCGUAGAUAUCGGAAGGAACAUCAGUGGCGAAAGCGGCUCCUCGGACCAGAACUGACGAUCAGGCACGAAAGCGUGGGGAGCAACAGGAUUAGAAUACCCUU
rnacentral:rRNA from 1 species